UCAGACAUGCGUUUACUCCCUGUGUCCUCUCUUUGGAAGCUACUAGAGGAAGAUCUCAGACUAAGGUUGUAAACCAACAGAAGAACCCACAUGAGGGGGGCCGCAGAGGGAAGACCCAGGCCAGCGUCUGUGCCCUCCCCGCACCCAGGCCGUGCCAUCAGCCCCGCCAUUCUCUCCACGUGGACGUCAGAAUUAGCCGGUUUUGGGUGAUUUCCUUACUUCCCAGGCGGAGGUCCCAUUCGGACAGUCGGCUGUCCCUCCUUCACGGUGCUCACCUGUGCUGCCAUGGGGACCACGGGGCUGGCCGUGGGCAGUGACCCUGCCCUUGUUCCUGCCUGUGCUGGGGGCCACUCGAAAGCCCCACAGUUCCGGACAUUUGCAGGAUGGGGAGUUUGAUACCCAGGCAAACAAACUUCACUCCACGGCCCCAAAUCCCGAGGAGGAAAAGGGGACUCCAUUCUCCCGAGUCAACACCAUACCUGACUUUGCUAAUCUUUCUGAGGAUCUCGCGUGUUUGCCCGAGGAAUUGGGGGGCAGCAUUUCUGGGCUGUUCUCCCCUGGUCUGGCCUCCAUACACGGGGACACCAGCUUCAUGGCGGUGCUCUGGUGGGAGCCCAGGAAGCCCGCAAGCCCGAGCACGGGGCGAGCGCAGGCCUGGGCACUGGCUCUGGGUUCCAAAGAUAACCAGCCUCUUGGCCACGUCACUCCCUGUUCUAGAAACGAUUCAGGCAACUUAGAUCUUUCUGGAAAAUGUGAAUGCGUCAGCUCCCGGAGCACGCUGUAAGGUGCUGUCUAUCAUAGUGCGUUUCCGGCUGUGAUGUCGCCAGCACACCUGUGGCGUCCCUGGAGCUUCUGUCCAUGUCAUUCCGUGUUGCAGAAACUGCACGUCUGGGUUUCCUCCUCUCUCCGGGUCCCAGGGAGGAGCCAGGUUGCUGGGCCCAGCGCCCCAACGAGCGACCCUCCUGCUCUGGCUCCAGAUGCCCCCUCGCCAAGGGGCUCCUGCAGGGCCAGCCGCCAACCAGGAAGUUCUGCUGGAGCUCUGGUUGCCUCUCCGCCGCAGACGCUCCCCUUUCCCAGAGAACAGUAUGUGUGCAGCGCGCCGCCUCCCGCCACCACCACGUUAUUAAAGCCAUAAAGCUCUUUCCGGGGUGCAGCUGCCCUGAGCUGACAGCACCCCCGGGAGGGGCCGCGCAGAGGAACGGCUGCGUCUAAACAGUACUAACCAGGGGCUGACACUUCUUGUUAUUUCUCAGUGGUUUGUUCUGGGAGGAGAGACCACGGGGAGUAGUUUCCUAGAAGCGCCUGUGCCCCAACCCCACACCACUCGCCCCGCGCUCUCGGAGAGGAAGGGACGCCGUGCGCCCCGAGCACCAGGUCCCUGCGCAGGACAUCUUCCCAAACCAGGGGCCCCGGGUGGCAGUGGAGCACCCCCUUCCUGCCCUCCCCUGACAAUGCCUUCCAUCUUGACCUCACAUUGUGGAGAAUUCUGUUUUAGGAUCCACUUGGCUUCAGCUGGAGCUGAUUCGCACAGAAAAAAUGAGCGUGCCGUGCACGACCUCUGAUAGGAAUACUGUGCGCAGAGGGCAGCGGCUUUACCCUUCCCCCUAGGGUGACUUUGUCACGGGGCGGGGGCAGGAGACGGGCACAGGCUGGGGGCCCACACUCGGGACCAUGGCCCUUGGCCUUUCUGGGUCCAGGAACCCCUCUUAGAUGUCAGGAGCUUGAUGGGGACGCGGUGUCCGUUUGGGAAAGUGAAGGACACUCUGGACGGUGGUGACAGCUUCACACAGUGUGAGUCACUUAAUGCCCCUGAGCAGCACCCACAAAGUGGCUAAGGGGUGCUAUGUUCUACUUUAUCACAAUGUUUUAAUUGCUUGCUAUGACUUACACAGUUAAGCCAGAAAAAAUAUAAUACGUAAUUUAAUAUAUAUAUAUUAGUUUAUAUGUAAUACGGUUUAGGGGCGCCUGGGUGGCUCAGUUGGUUAAGCGACUGCC